GCAAACUUGGUCAUUUAGAGGAAGUAAAAGUCGUAACAAGGUUUCCGUAGGUGAACCUGCGGAAGGAUCAUUACCAAGCUGAGAGGGUCACCGGCGCUGGGCGGUGCACCCCCGUGAGCGGGCGGGACGGGGCGCUUAGUCGCCCCUGCCCGCCCCCCGGGGGUGCCGGUCCCUUGAAAAAACCGCCCGCCCGGCUGCGGGGCCCUCGAACCCCCCACCCUUGUCCACCUCUACCUUUGUUGCCUCGGCGGGUCCGCCCGCCAGAGGACCACAACCAAAACUCUUGUUAAGAAACAACGUCCAGUCUGAGCUAUAGCAAAAGCAAUAGUUUAAAACUUUCAACAACGGAUCUCUUGGUUCUGGCAUCGAUGAAGAACGCAGC
rnacentral:misc_RNA from 1 species